rnacentral:rRNA from 1 species
UUGGAGGGCAAGUCUGGUGCCCGCAGCCGCGGUAAUUCCAGCUCCAAUAGCGUAUAUUAAAGUUGUUGCAGUUAAAAAGCCCGUAGUUGAAUUUCGGGAUUGACGUGAUGGUCAUGCCUUAAGGGGUAUGAACUGUUGCAGUUGAUUUCUCACCUUCUGGAGAAACUUGAUGUCCUUUAUUGGGUGUCUUGCGGAUCCAGGACCUUUACCUUGAAAAAAUUAGAGUGUUUAAGGCAGGCAUUUUUGCUCGAAUACAUUAGCAUGGAAUAAUAGAAUAGGACGGCAUGGUUCUAUUUUGUUGGUUUCUAGGAUCACCGUAAUGAUUAAUAGGGAUAGUUGGGGGCAUUAGUAUUCAAUUGUCAGAGGUGAAAUUCUUGGAUUUAUUGAAGACUAACUACUGCGAAAGCAUUUGCCAAGGAUGUUUUCAUUAAUCAAGAACGAAAGUUAGGGGAUCGAAGACGAUCAGAUACCGUCGUAGUCUUAACCAUAAACUAUGCCGACUAGGGAUCGGAUGAUGUUAAUUUUUUAAUGACUCAUUCGGCGCCUUACGGGAAACCAAAGUGUUUGGGUUC